AUGGAUUCAACAAGCCAUUACCUGUACCGCCAGACCUUACUCCUGGGGCGAGCAACCAUGGUAUCAGCCUGGAUGAGAUUCCUGUGGACAGGCGGCAGAAAUUCCUGGAUCGACAGAAGAAUAUGGGAAACUGAGGUAGAGAACAGAAACAUUUUGGUUACUUCAGUCAUAUUUUACUUCUUUCGAAUGAUGUUCCCCUCUGUGGGACAUAAAAAAAUAUAUUUUGAAAAGUCAGUGGGGUCCAGUCUUUUGUGUUCCACAGAAGAAAGAAAAUAAAACAGGUUUGAAAAACAUGAGGGUGAGUAAGUUAUGACAGAAGUUAUUUAUUUUUGUGUGAAAUAUCCCUAUGAGCCAUGCAACUUAUAGGGUUAGUUCACCCAAAAAUGAAAAUUAGCUAAUAAAUUACUCCCCCUCAAGUCAUCCUAGGUGUAUAUGACUCAUUUCUUUCAGACGAAUCCAGUCGGAGUUAUAUUAUAUUAAGCUACAUUAAAGUGAUUAUUACGUUUUGAAUAUGGAUAUUUUUCUUUCAAAAAUGCAUUGAUUCGCUACAAGAGGCCUUUGUUCACCCCCCAGAGCCAUGUAAGACACUUUUUUAUGGAUGGGGGCUUUUUAUUUCACUUCUUUUGGACUGAAGCACUGCACCACCCGCUGAGUGCCAUUAAACAGCUUGAAAGAUCAAAGACAAUUUUUAACCCUUUAAGGUUGUUAAACUUCUGUACUCAUGCUGUUCUGUUUCUGUGCCUUCCAAUAGGUUGUGAUGCUCAUGUUUCUGCACCAGCCUAUCGGAUUUAGGAGAAAGUGGGGCAAGGGGAUGAAAGGGGUGGACUGAGGUGUUCACCCCCUCGAUUACCCUUUUCUACUUUAUUCAUUCCUAAAAAGAGUGGAAAAGCUCACUAGGACAUCUGAGAAGACAAAAACAACUUAGAACUCUGAAUGCCAGCCCAUCAAAACCAUCAGCUCAACAAGAAGGCAUGUACCAACUGCUAUGGAUGGUCACAGAGGACUUUUUAAAAACUAGUAAAGAGUUUAUACUGCAGUUCAUCUAAUACUAAAUUAAAGAUACUGCUGAGAUAACAGUUCAUCAGGACAAGAAAAUGAGAGCAGCAACACACGCCUCGUUCAUCUCUGCAGUUAUGCAAUCCCUCCAGUUAAUCCCUCCACUUCUGCAAAGAGAUUUUUUCUUUAUUUCAUUGUUUAUAUAUAUAUACAAAACAAAAACAAGCAAAAGCAACAAAUUGAUGGUGCUUGUUUAUAAUGGCACCUGUCAAUUUAGUCAUAAUUCAGUGGAAAUAAUGCCAAUAAUAUCCAUGUAUUGAAAUUAUUUAAAAUACCGUGUUGAUUUUAUUUGCUAGGAUUUUCAGGCUUUAAAAACUAGGUGUUAGUUCAAAAAAGAACUUCUUCACAUUCUUCACAUAUUCGUUUUGAAAAUGCUUUCAUUCAGUUUAAUUUCAUGUGGCACUGUUUGGCCUUUCUAGAAAGUGAAAUGCAUUCAGAACCGUUUUCACGGCCAAGCAAACACCUUUCAAAUCCAAGAUUAUAUGGCAGACAAUUAUUAAUAUUUAUUUGUGAGUUAAGAAUAAGAGAUAUAUUAAAAAGGAAACUCGUGAGCUGAGACCACUGAUCUAUAAUAGAGAACAUAUAUAGACCAGUGGCUGAGACUCAAAUUGUCAGGUUUAUAAUAGCAAGGCACAUGAUCCUGAUACCCAUGCGUAAUACCCUGAUGUCAAACCCUGCUUCAAAGUCCUGACAUGCAGUCUAUUACCAAAGAGAAAUCUUAUCAGAGAUUUGUCCAAAUAUUUUCUCAGCACUACAUUGUCUGCUCAUACACUCAGUAAAUGCAUGCGUGCCCUAUAAGGGGCAUUAUACUACAUGACAGAGGGAAUUUUGAAUGUGUGGUCUGGAUAUCUUCAUUAAGAUAGGAGGCCAAGAUUUCUAAAAAUCCUUUCUUUGUAUUGGUCUUAAGUAAUAUUCUAAUUUUCUGAGAUUCUGAAUUUGGGGUUUUCCUUAGUUGUCGGUUAUAAUCAUCAAAAUUAAAAUAAAUAAACAUUUGAAAUAUAUCAGUCUGUGUGUAAUGAAUGAAUAUACAAAAAUAUACAAAGUUUUAAAACAUACACAUUUUUUAGUUAAUUAUAUUAUUUUUUUUUUAAUUUUUUAAAUUUUAAACUAUUAUAUUAUUAUUUAUUUAUUUAUUUAAUGUUUUUUUUUGUUCUGAAA
rnacentral:lncRNA from 1 species